rnacentral:rRNA from 1 species
UACGUAGGCAGCGAGCGUUGUUCGGAGUUACUGGGCGUAAAGGGUGUGUAGGCGGUUGUUUAAGUUUGGUGUGAAAUCUCCCGGCUCAACUGGGAGGGUGCGCCGAAUACUGGAAUGACUUGGAGUGCGGGAGAGGAGAGUGGAAUUCCUGGUGUAGCGGUGAAAUGCGUAGAUAUCAGGAGGAACACCGGUGGUGUAGACGGCUCUCUAGUACGGUACUGACGCUGAGACGCGAAAGCGUGGGGAGCGAACAGG